ACCCGUUGCUCCUUGGCG
rnacentral:misc_RNA from 1 species